AACUAUAUAAUUACAAUAUACUUAAAAUAUUUAAGUUUGAUUGCAUUACUUAUAAAAUAUAAGUAUAUUCUACUAAAUUGUGGAUGUAAUUUGAAUGUGUUAAUAAAUUUAAGUUAAAUGCACUUAAAUUAUUAAGUUUUUCUCCUGACCACGCCUCUUACACAUUGGUUUACGGCAGGUAAUGACGCCAUUUUGUCGUGGUGUGUGUGAAUUCAAGGAGCUGUUGAUGAGAAGUUGGAACAUUUGUUUUCGCAAGUUCUGCAGACAUUUUUUUCCAAACAUUUGCCUUUUUAUCGUUUCCCCCCCUGAGAGACUGUUUGUGAGCAGUGAAAAUCGUUUGGUAAAGUUUAAACGACGGAAAUGUUUUCUCCGGUUAGCUAGUGUUCUCUCUCGCGUGCGGUGGAUCACCGUGCAUGAACCCCUGAUCGGCGAGUUCAACGCGUGUUAUUUCGUCGUUUGUUUCUUUUUCACACGAGGAGCUGUUGUUGGGCGUGUAAACUUAGUUUGAACCUCUGGCUGUCGGCGAACACCGCGCCCGCGCCCGCGCCCGCACCCGCACUCCCAGCAGAGGAGGGAGGAUGAAGCGCGAAAAUGGUCAAGAAGAGAUGCUUUGGAUUAGAAGUAAAAGUUGUCAACGACGAGCCUGACAUCAGCCUGAUGGUACUUCAAUGGCCAGCUCUUUCUACAGUAAACCAGGUUGCAGCUGACAAGGACUCAUACAGGCAAACUUCAGUGAGAAUCGUCUGUGUUGAUCUAUAAAGUGCUCAGCUAAACCCAUCAUGAGUGAAGAUCGUCUUGGAAGGAUGGAAUACUGCCACUAUUGUGAACUCAGGAGUGUAAACAAACCAUAUAGUUUUGAUGCAGUUUGUUGUGAUUCUGAGAUAGACUAUUUAUGUGCUUAACAAUAAGCUGAUUUGUUAAAAUUAUUUUUUUCAUGUUUUAUAAGGAAAUGUUUUCAGGACAUAAAAUGUUGUUGUAUUUGGAAUUGAAUUAAAAUAAAACAUAAAAUUGAAUUAAUGUACCUUUUAUUUGCUUUUUUUCUUAAUUUUGUAGUAAAAUAGAAGUUGCUAUAAAUUAACUUGCUUAGUACAUUGAACUUAAC